AUUGAACGCUGGCGGCAUGCCUUACCAUGCAAGUCGAACGUAACGGGCUUCAGGUGCCGACGAGUGGCGAACGGGUGAGUAAUGCAUCGGAACGUACCUUUCAGUGGGGGAUAACGUAGCGAAAGUUACGCUAAUACCGCAUAUUCUGUGAGCAGGAAAGCAGGGGAUCGCAAGACCUUGCGCUGAUUGAGCGGCCGAUGUCAGAUUAGCUAGUUGGUGAGGUAAAGGCUCACCAAGGCGACGAUCUGUAGCGGGUCUGAGAGGAUGAUCCGCCACACUGGAACUGAGACACGGUCCAGACUCCUACGGGAGGCAGCAGUGGGGAAUUUUUGGACAAUGGGGGCAACCCUGAUCCAGCCAUGCCGCGUGAGUGAAGAAGGCCUUCGGGUUGUAAAGCUCUUUCGGCCGGGAAGAAAUCGUAUGGGCUAAUACCCUGUGCGGAUGACGGUACCGGCAUAAGAAGCACCGGCUAACUACGUG
rnacentral:rRNA from 1 species